AACGAACGCUGGCGGCAGGCUUAACACAUGCAAGUCGAACGCCCCGCAAGGGGAGUGGCAGACGGGUGAGUAACGCGUGGGAACAUGCCCAAAGGUACGGAACAACUCCGGGAAACUGGAGCUAAUACCGUAUGUGCCCGAAAGGGGAAAGAUUUAUCGCCUUUGGAUUGGCCCGCGUUGGAUUAGCUAGUUGGUGGGGUAAAAGCCUACCAAGGCGACGAUCCAUAGCUGGUCUGAGAGGACGACCAGCCACACUGGGACUGAGACACGGCCCAGACUCCGACGGGAGGCAGCAGUGGGGAAUCUUGGACAAUGGGCGCAAGCCUGAUCCAGCCAUGCCGCGUGGAUGAUGAAGGCCUUAGGGUUGUAAAAUCCUUUCGCCGAGGACGAUAAUGACGGUACUCGGAGAAGAAGCUCCGGCUAACUUCGUGCCAGCCGCCGCAGUAA
rnacentral:rRNA from 1 species